AAUCAACUUCCACAAUAAGGUGCGCUCGAGUCUUUUCCUUCGCAAUCGUGCUGUUAUGCGCAGUUUCCACUUCAGUGAGUCUUCAAAGACCAAUACCCAUGUACUUUCUCACUUCCACAGCAACCAACCAAAGCUGUUUCAAUAAAUCUUAGGGUUUUCGGUAGAGAAUUCUAGUUCAGAUUCCCAGUGUAACUCUGGUUCCAACCUAAUGGUGAGAGGAAAGAGAAGACCUCUAGCAGCUUUAGCCGCAGCUGAAGACUAUUCUCUCCAUGGUUCUGUUGAGUCUUUAGACUUUUAUGCUGCAGAAGACCUGCAUGAAGAUGGUAAUUGGGUAAUUGUUAAGAAACAGCGAAUUACUAUCUGGAUCCCUCCUCCUCCGUCUGUGCAUCCUACUACAACCCCAGGUCCUCCUCGGACAAACAACAGACAGCACAAGUCCAAGAAAAGAAUAAUUAAAAGACGGCAAAUACUUCCUAACAAGAGACAACAGCCACGAAAACGCCCACAUGAAGGAGAGCUUCAGAACUGUGAUACAGUACUGGAUUCGAGUAAAGGUAUUCAGGUCAGUGGAGGAAAACUGGACUCCCCACCCAAUUCCAUGAAAAAGUUUCCCAAGCAGGUUUCUAGAAGAACUACACCAAAAGGCCCAACUAGGCUUACUGGGGAUGAGUCAGUCUACCGCCCAGCAACAUCUAAAUCUCUUGUCCCUGAUAAUGAACAUGCAAGGCUGAGUGCUAUUGGAUUUUCUCCACAGAUUAGGGUAUCUAGAGUAUUUGAAGCUGAUAAGAAUAAGAAGAGGCUACCUACUAAUAAUAUUCUCCCCCCACCAACAAUGUUUCGUAGUCAAGGACCUUCUAGAGCUCAUGUCAGAUCGAUCAGUUGUCUGAAUAUGGGUAUGGGUGUACUACAACAGAAUCAAAAGAUGCGUGCGGCAAACCUGGAGAGGAAACUGGAAAAGGCUGGUGGGUUGAGCAGGUGGCUCAUGUCACUUGGGCUAGGACAGUUUGUGCAGAUGUUCCGAAUGCGAAACGUGGAUGAUAAAUUUCAACUGUUGAACCUAAACAUGGGAAAGCUCAAAGAAAUGGGUGCAAUUGCAGUUGGCCCGAGAAGAAAGUUGAUGCAUGCAAUUGACUGUUUGGCAUUUCAAGAUUGUACUCUUAGUAGAGGAAUGAUUUGAAAGGGUUGUCAAGAUCAGAUAAACUGUAAGGACUCUGCUGCUUUGUUGAUGGGCUUUGGUAACUCCAGAAGUGCUGCAUAUCCCCUAAUAUCUCCCCCACUCCCUUCCCCGUAACUCCAUUCAUCAGCAGUUGUUGAAGUAACCACAAGAUGUUGUUUCUUGCAAAUGAUUCAGUAUUCAUAUCUGUUCAUGUUAUUAAUCAACCAGGUUGUUUUUUUUAAAUGGAACCACCAAUUCCAGGAUUGAGUUUAUAUGCCGAAGAUGAUGAUGACGACAAUUCGAAUGAAUGGCAAGGUUCCUUCAACUCUUAGAAUUUUUAAUAUUAAUUCGUUGCUAUUAAUCUAAAGCAUUAAAAUUCAUCAACUUAUUUUUGGCAGUAAUCGUUGCUGUGAUUUUUGUUAUGAUCUUUGUGGAUGUGAGAGCUGCCUUUGGUGGAUCUUUGAUGCAUCGUGUCUUGAGGAAUGCUUACAAGGAGGUUUUAUCUUUAACAUGUUGCUGUUUCUAGAACUCAGGUCCUUGUAAUUAAAUUAAACACUACAAAUACAUGUAUAUGGGAUAAGAACUGGAUCUGUGCACGAUGCUCAUACUCAAUAUCAGGCUUUCUGACUAUCAUAUUUGUACAUAGAUCAUUCGCCUCUUAGAAAUCAGUGAGCCAGAUGCUCACCCAAUUUUAGUCAAACUACUUUGACUAACUCAAACUCAAAGUCUAUGCUGUUCGAUGAUGAAACUUCUGAUUUAGUCACUUAUUUGCCAGUUCGUAAUUCAUUGUAUUUAUAUAUUUAAAUGAUUUAAUCAAAUAACAAGUGGUUCUGAAAGAAUAAAAAAUCGGUUGACAUUUUCUUUUGUUAUCCAUUCUUUCGUUCAUGAGAGAGUUAUAUCAAUCCUUCUUUCAUUCUCUCGUGGUGUUUACUUGGUAGAAUCUGUAACUAUUUCAUUACACCCAUAUUAUCUCUUUUGAUUACAUAUGGAAUCACCAUCUGUAAUCCAAGGAAUGAGUAUUCUUGCUGAAGAAGUGGAAAAUCCAGCUACUGAGGCUUGUGAUUGCUGUAACAGGGAUUGUUAUAAUUCUAUUUGUGGUGGAUGUCACUCUUGCUGUGCUUGUCUUGAUGCAUGUUUACAAGGAGUUCUUUGUUGCUUAUCUUGUUUCGCAGUUUGUUCUUAGAAAUAUCGUUUUCUUGUAAAUAAAAAUGUUAAUAGAUUUGGAAGCGGGUCAUGUAAUCAGCUAUUGCAAGCACUAUCUUGUCUAAUUUUUAUUAGAGAUAUGUAAAUGUGUGAGUAAAGUGUGUGUCAAGUCAAUGAGUCAAUAUAGACUUGACUUAUGUCCUGUUGUCUUGUCCUAUGAGGACAAUUAAAUACCCUGUAAUAAUCUUUCAGAAA